CCUACGGGUGGCAGCAGUGAGGAAUAUUGGUCAAUGGACGAGAGUCUGAACCAGCCAAGUAGCGUGAAGGAUGACUGCCCUAUGGGUUGUAAACUUCUUUUAUAUGGGAAUAAAAUGUUCCACGUGUGGGAUUUUGUAUGUACCAUAUGAAUAAGGAUCGGCUAACUCCGUGCCAGCAGCCGCGGUAAUACGGAGGAUCCGAGCGUUAUCCGGAUUUAUUGGGUUUAAAGGGAGCGUAGGUGGAUUGUUAAGUCAGUUGUGAAAGUUUGCGGCUCAACCGUAAAAUUGCAGUUGAAACUGGCAGUCUUGAGUACAGUAGAGGUGGGCGGAAUGCGUGGUGUAGCGGUGAAAUGCUUAGAUAUCACGAAGAACUCCGAGUGCGAAGGCAGUUCACUGGACUGCAACUGACACUGAGGCUCGAAAGUGUGGGUAUCAAACAGGAUUAGAUACCCCUGUAGUC
rnacentral:rRNA from 1 species